rnacentral:rRNA from 1 species
UUGUAAUUGCAGAGGAUGCUUCGGGAGCGGUCCCCAUCUAAGUGCCCUGGAACGGGACGUCAUAGAGGGUGAGAAUCCCGUAUGGGAUGGGGUGUCCGCGCCCGUGUGAAGCUCCUUCGACGAGUCGAGUUGUUUGGGAAUGCAGCUCUAAAUGGGUGGUAAAUUUCAUCUAAAGCUAAAUAUUGGCCGGAGACCGAUAGCGCACAAGUAGAGUGAUCGAAAGAUGAAAAGCACUUUGAAAAGAGAGUUAAAAAGCACGUGAAAUUGUUGAAAGGGAAGCGCUUGCGACCAGACUCGCUCGCGGGGUUCAGCCGGCAUUCGUGCCGGUGUACUUCCCCGCGAGCGGGCCAGCGUCGGUUUGGGCGGUCGGUCAAAGGCCUCUGGAAGGUAACGCCCCCUCGGGGGCGUCUUAUAGCCAGGGGUGCAAUGCGGCCUGCCCGGACCGAGGAACGCGCUUCGGCUCGGACGCUGGCAUAAUGGUCGUAAGCGACCCGUCUUGAAACACGGACCAAGGAGUCUAACAUCUACGCGAGUGUUCGGGUGUCAAACCCGUGCGCGAAGUGAAAGCGAACGGAGGUGGGAACCCGCAAGGGUGCACCAUCGACCGAUCCUGAAGUCUUCGGAUGGAUUUGAGUAAGAGCGUAGCUGUUGGGACCCGAAAGAUGG